UACAGAGGGUGCGAGCGUUGUUCGGAAUUAUUGGGCGUAAAGCGCUUGUAGGCGGCACGUCAAGUCGCGUGUGAAAUCCCCAGGCUUAACCUGGGAAGUGCGCGCGAAACUGACGAGCUUGAGUGCCGGAGAGGGUCGCGGAAUUCCCGGUGUAGAGGUGAAAUUCGUAGAUAUCGGGAGGAACACCAGUGGCGAAGGCGGUUGCCUGGGGCUUUGGCUGACGCUGAUGCGCGAAAGCGUGGGGAGCGAGUCCGG
rnacentral:rRNA from 1 species